GACGAACGCUGGCGGCGUGCUUAACACAUGCAAGUCGAACGGUGAAGCGCCUUCCUUUUUGGUGGGUGUGGAUGAGUGGCGAAGGGGGGAGUAACACGUGAGUAACCUGCCCCCUUCUGCUGGAUAACCGCAUGAAAGUGUGGCUAAUACGGGAUAUUCUGGGUCUGUCGCAUGAUGGGUCUGGGAAAGAUAUUGUUUCGGUGGUGGAUGGGCUCGCGGCCUAUCAGCUUGUUGGUGGGGUGAUGGCCUACCAAGGCGGUGACGGGUAGCCGGCCUGAGAGGGUGGACGGCCAUAGUGGGACGGAGCGACGGACCAGCCUCCUACGGGCGGCAGCAGUGGGGAUUAUUGCACGAUGGGCGCAAGCCUGAUGCAGCGACGCCGCGUGAGGGAUGGAGGCCUUCGGGUUGUGAACCUCUUUCGCCAGUGAAGCAGGCCUGCCUCGUUUGUGGGUGGGUUGACGGUAGCUGGAUAAGAAGCGCCGGCUAACUACGUG
rnacentral:rRNA from 1 species